rnacentral:rRNA from 1 species
CCUACGGGAGGCAGCAGUGGGGAAUAUUGGACAAUGGGGGGAACACUGAUCCAGCGACGCCGCGUGAGUGAAGAAGUAUUUCGGUAUGUAAAGCUCUAUCAGCAGGGAAGAAAGAAAUGACGGUACCUGACUAAGAAGCCCCGGCUAACUACGUGCCAGCAGCCGCGGUAAUACGUAGGGGGCAAGCGUUAUCCGGAUUUACUGGGUGUAAAGGGAGCGUAGACGGCGAUGCAAGUCUGAAGUGAAAGGCGGGGGCCCAACCCCCGGACUGCUUUGGAAACUGUAUGGCUGGAGGGCAGGAGAGGGAAGUGGAAGUCCUAGUGGAGCGGUGAAAUGCGUAGAUAUUAGGAGGAACACCAGUGGCGAAGGCGGCUUACUGGACUGUAACUGACGUUGAGGCUCGAAAGCGUGGGGAGCAAACAGGAUUAGAUACCCUGGUAGUC